rnacentral:rRNA from 1 species
UACAGAGGGUGCAAGCGUUAAUCGGAAUUACUGGGCGUAAAGCGUGCGUAGACGGUUACAUAAGUCGGGUGUGAAAGCCCCGGGCUCAACCUGGGAAUUGCAUUCGAGACUGCGUAGCUAGGGUGCGGAAGAGGGAAGCGGAAUUUCCGGUGUAGCGGUGAAAUGCGUAGAUAUCAGGAGGAACACCGAUGGCGAAGGCAGCUCGCUGGGACGUGACUGACGCUGAGACGCGAAAGCGUGGGGAGCAAACAGG